AAGUCGUAACAAGGUCUCCGUUGGUGAACCAGCGGAGGGAUCAUUACUGAGUUCUCCCAAAACUCCCAACCCUUUGUGAACCUUACCGUCGUUGCCUCGGCGCCGAGCGGCGGCUACCCUGGAGAAGCUACCCGGGAGAGCCACCUACCCCGUAGGUGGCUACCCUGGAGCUACCCUGUAGUAGUUGCUCUUUACGCUCCGCCGGUGGACCUCUACACUCUGUUUUGUAUAGUGUAUCUCUGAAACCUAUAACUUAAUACGUUAAAACUUUCAACAACGGAUCUCUUGGUUCUG
rnacentral:misc_RNA from 1 species